GCACACUUAUCUGGCAGUUCUGGAGACCAUGAAAACCUGAUUUUUAAAGAGCGUCCACACAACUUCUCAAAAAUCAUGAUGUGUCUGACAAAGUGGAAGCUUCUCGUAAAGUAACAGAGCUUGAGAAUGAACUGAACACUAAGUGAGAAGAGAGAGGUCACCUGUACUCAAGCAGGUCUGACCUUGGCAGUCGAUUUGUGGGGUGGGCCUGAAGAGGAAGGAACAAAUGUCCUUCUAAGUGAUGUUUAAUUUCUUUUUCUGAAAUGGUUGCAAUUGAGAGAUGUUCCACAUCCAAGAAAUUUUGUCUUACUUUACCAAGAAAAAUCCUGCCUAGUUCUUAGUGAUCUGACUAAGGUGAAGUUACCCGUUCUUGUUAGCUUUGGCACUCUUGGACCCAGAAGGCAGAAUGAAGGGCUUUAAACAUGACAGGGUGUUUCCUCUACCCUACCUUUUCCAUUGUCAUUCCAAGGGCAGUAGGCCUAGAUAUUAUCUUUCUGUUCUUUCUCCAAACUCCAUUUUCCUACCAGACAGUGAUAGCCGAAAAUUUCAGAGCACUACUGUGUCAUAAUGGACCUUGUCUGCAGGAGACAGGCCUCUCAGCCUAGGGCAUUCCUGUGUCAUUGGGGACCCUGUAUGCAGGAGACAGGUCUCUUGGGGCAGGUGAAAUGAUGCCUGUACGUUCUUUAAUUUACAUGAGUGGGCUACAAGUAGUUUUUUUAUGUAAGGCGCACAACACAUCAUUCAUCUAAAAUGUGAGCCUCCUGAUCCAAUGUAAAUGUUUGAGAUUGAAUAUCUAAUUCAUAAUUUAAUUUCCAAAAUUCUAGAGAAAGGUUUCAGAUUUGAUGCUAGGGAUUUUAUUUUUAUCAAUUCAAAUCACCAGAACACUAAUCAUUAGUGGAAAGCAAAGGUGACAGUCCUGUUAGAGAGCUAACUAAUACUUCAGAGGUUCCAAAGGCUGUAGAGCUCUCACAGCAUUACACAGACAACAUUCUUGCAGGUUGGAACAAAGACGUCCAAGAUAAAUGGGAGCUCAUGGGUGGCUGUCAAGCACAGCAAUCUCAGAAGUUGUAAAUUUAGUAAAGAGAUUUAUAAAAACUGUCAGGAAAGGAAGAAGCGUGUUGCUGUGCCCCCUGUGACUUAAGUGCUAUAAGAAAACUUGUGUCAGUUGAGUCUGCAUCUCUUUCUCAGCGUAACAGAUUUAUUUAAUUUUAAUUCCUGAAUUUUGCAUCCUCAUUCCUCAGUUGAGCUAUGGGAGAAAGGCCUCAGUUUGCUUAUUUUGUGUGAAAGGUGACUUUAUGAUUUCAACACAUUUUCUUUUUCAGAAUCUCUAAUAUGGUUUUAGAAGAACUUUCUGUUCCAUAGAAAUCUGUGCAUCAGGGAAAUAAUCACAAUUUUAAAUAAAACGGAAGCAUUUGAAACCCAAAAAUUCUUUUUAAUAAGAGCUGUACGAUCAAUUGUUGAAAUACAACCAUUAGUAUUUUUUACGUUUAUGAGUUUCCUAUUUGAAAGCGUGUCUUUUUUUUUUUUUCCUCUGUAAGAGAAUAGAGUGUUCCAGAGAGCUGAUGAAGGAUUUGCACACUUGUCUUGCCCAGGAAGUGCAUUCUCCUUGUGUCUGCAGCACAUGGGCAGCCUUUGAUAGCAUAAAAAGAAGCCUUUGAUACCUCCCAAAGAAGAGCAGGUACCUGCUGUCCCUAGUGCAUGGGAAGACAGAUGCACUCAAGAACCUGCAAGCAUCUGAAAACACUGCAUGUGUGUUUGUGAGACCUGUAGUGAAGUAGACUUGGCCAUCCCUGGACAGUGAGGUCAGAUGUGAAUAAGUGUUGCAAGAUCACAUUGAAUAGCAUACACUACUGUUGGGAAAUGUUUUCCUAAGGCCUGGACUCCCCAAACUACGCACAGAUAAGCCAUUGCCUUAAAGGUCUUCUGGCCAUUCACGUUUCAAAUGUAAGUGGCCACUCAGUACUGAUGGAAGGAAGGUAUGUUUUAUUAUCAUGGCACAGGAUACACUGAUUCGUUCCAGCUGGCUGAAGGGUCAGUGGGAUGUUGUGUCCCCUCACCCUCAUGACUACUGUGCUUUAGCACGGGGAGCAGGACAGUGUCCAAAUCUCAGGGUUUGGGUGAAAUGUAAGGAUGGAGUUGGGAAGUUGCUGGUCAAAGGAUGUAAAGUUCAGAUGAACAGGGAAUGACUUUGAGUACUGUUACCUGUAGCCUAUGACACUCAGCAGUGUCCUAUAAAUAAUGCAAAGGAACUUUAAGAAAGGGGAAUUAUGUUUGAGGGUUUAAAAAGCUGAGAUGGGUAUUCAAUGCCACAGUAAAUUGAUUUGUAUUUUACAAGCACUGUAAAUGCGAAGGAUCCUGAAAGGUAGCCUGGAAAACUCCAGUGUAUGGGCAUAGACUCAUGCGCGCGCAUGAGUGGCUAAUGAACGAUACCCGCCCCUCCUCUCUCGGACUUAGCCACGCCCUUCAUUAGUUCCUGAGGGGAUUUUUCAGAACAGAGGUUAUGGCAGUUUCACUAUCCAAUUCCAGUGAGUAUGAGGGGAGCCCAUGGAGUUUGAAACCACUCCUUUCUGCUCUCAGGGAUGUGGGGAAAAUAAGAGAAUUUGGGUUGGCUUAGUAGCACUAUUUUGUGAGUCUUAGCUUGAGUUCCCUCGGGAUGGAGACCAACUGCUUCUUUUCCGAAUCUUAGGGAAGUUGACAUGUUUUCUCCCAACUGUCCUUAUGGCUCCUUCCUCCAUCUCCCGCUUGGGGCCUCUGUGGACUCUCAUUUGCUGCAUCAGCACAUGAAGGUUCCCUGACUUGGCACCUCCUUAUGCUGAACAUCAGCAGACUCCAUACUGAGUAGGAUUUGUUUGUACAGCUGUUAAUACCAAUAAUUAUGUAACCCUACUCGAUGCCCUCUUAGAGCACGCCGCAGAAAAAUAGAUUGAAAAAGUGAAGAAAAAUAUAAACAUCAUGUGUGGUAAUGGCUCCCAAGCAAAGAAUCUGAACCUUACAGCAGCCCCACCUAAGGUUUAUGAACAGGAAACCGGGAAGGGGAAUGACAUUUGAAGUGUAAGUAAAGAAAUGUAUAUAAUAAAAAAUUAAAAAACAAAAAAAGACAAACAAAGAGGUCUAUGCUGUGAAUAUAAUCAGAAAGAUGAUCUUAUCUGCCUCUUUUGUGUGUGUGUGUGUGUGUGUGUGUGUGUGUGUGUGUGUGUGUGUGUUUUACCUUGACUUCCGUAGUCAAUGGAGUUCAGAUAACUGUAGGAAUGCAUUUUAUGGUUUAGAGGCACUGAUAGGAUCAUUCCUUUACUUAUGCUCCCCCUACUAGUUUUCUCACACAUAUCUCAUCAAGAUUUAAGCUGUUAUGCAUCCAUAAAACUUAAUGCUUACUAAAUCAUUUUAACUUUCCUAUUCUUUUCAUCUUCAUUAAUAUUCCUGGUACCUAAAUAAUACAAUCCUGUCAAAGGUGUUUCAAAUUUAGCUGGUAGACUGAUACGCCUCUUAAAACACAUGACUUAGGAAACAAGCUAACCUACAUUAUGGCUGAUUGGUGCAUUGCAAAACAGAUUAAUUCCAAAUUAAAUAUAUUAGACUAUUUAAAAUAGUCCUGCUUUAAUAUUUGUAAUCAUAUCAAACUUUAAAUAUGGGAUUAUAAAGCCUGUGAUUUGACUGUACUAUACUGCAUUCUCCAUAUAGAUUUUUACAUGAAUUACUGAAAAUUUCUUGGCAAAAACUUAUUAUGUGAGCACCUUUAUAACUAAUACCACUGGGGCUUUUCCAUUUAAUGGUUAUGUGAACCGUAUGUUUAAAUACAGGUAAAAGGAGAUUUACACUUAGCAGCCAACUAAGUAACCUGGAUGUAGUCACUUAUAUUCACUGAGUAGUUGCUUGUAGAAGGGAGCGCAAACUGCAGAUCAGGUAUUUCAAGGAGCUCUCUUGGUAUAAACUUAGCCCUAGCUAAUUUGGCCAUAGGGAAUUCAUGGUCCUUCUGAUACUUGAUCAGUCCAAGCCAAACUUCCUACACAAAAGUUCAGGAUGCAGUUCCUCCUGUCUCUAUGUCUUUUUUUUUUUAUUAACUUAAGUAUUUCUUAUUUACAUUUCGAUUGUUAAUCCCUUUACCGGUUUCUGAGCCAACAUCCCCCUAACCCCUCCCACUCCCCUUCUCUAUGGGUGUUCCCCUCCCCAUCCUCCACCAUUACCACCCUCCCCCCAACAAUCACAUUCACUGGGGGGUUCAGUCUUGGCAGGACCAAGGGCUUCCCUUUCCACUGGUGCUCUUACUAGGAUAUUCAUUGCUACCUAUGAGGUUGGAGCCCAGGGUCAGUCCAUGUAUAGUCUUUGGGAAGUGGCGUAGUCCCUGGAAGCUCUGAUUGCUUGGCAUUGUUGUUCACAUGGGGUCUCGAGCCCCUCGAGCUCUUUUAGUCCUUUCUCUGAUCUUAUCUGCCUCUUAAAAUUCAGUUUGUAGCAGGUGUGCUUCCUGACCAAAGAAGUCAGAUGAGUGCAUGAGCAGCCCCUUCAAGGACAAGGCUUGGAUUCCCAGGAGCAGACAAGGAACUCUGUGGGCAUACUCCAAGGAAACUGGACCUCCUCUGUCACAGGACUUCCACUGUUUAAGCACCACCACUACCUCAGGAAGUCCACUGUCUGUGUGUCAACUCCACUGUUACAGGACCAUAAGUGUCUCAGCACUUCAACUAUCACAGCACUUCUACUGUUCAGGAGCUCAAGAGUCUCAGCAUCUCAAGUGUCACAGGACCUCCUUUGUACAAGAACUGGACUGUCCAAGCAACGCUACUAUUGCGGGACCUCCACUGUCACAGGACUUCCACUGUAGGAGCACUACAACUGUCUCAGGACACCCACUGUCCUAUAACCUCCACUAUCCCAGGAAUUCCACUGUCGUAGCACCACCCGUAGCAACUAAAGUGUUUCAGGACAUCAACUGAAGCAAGAUCUCCCAUGAUUCUGCAACUUCACUGCCACAGGAUCUCUACAGUGACAGGAAUACCCCUGUAUCAGCAAUUCCAAUUUUGCAGGACCUCCACUGUAGCAGAACCUUCAAUUGUGCAGCAGCUCCACUGUAGGUAGAUUGACCUCCAUGAUCUCAGUGCAUCGAUUUUCAAAGGACCUUCACUGUCACAGAACCGGCGCUAUUUCAGUGCCUCCACUGUCGCAGGACCUACCUCUUCACAGGAUCUGCACUGUUGCAGCAACUGUAAUUUCAAUUUUUCAAAGUCAUUGCUGGUUAUUAGAUUUAAGGCUGAAUGAAAUGUGAUGCUACUUUUGACCGCAUAAGAAUUUGUUCUAUAGCUCUUGUGAUAAAUGCCGUGUGUGCUAGGACCAGUAACCUAUGGAAGAUUUCAUGAGCUCAUACCACUCUCCACCUCACUUUGUGGAAGCUGGUGUUUUUAGAGUGUGAUAAACUUCAGGUGAAUGGAUGCAUUCAGCUGCACCACGCUCUAGAGUGGGCUACACAGCCGUCAUAUUGAGUCCUUGCUGGGAAGAGAAGAAAUCCAGAGGAGGGAGAAGGCUUGGGUUGGGGGAAGUAUCAUAAAAUACUUAGAAGAUAUAAGAAGGUAAGAAUUAUGGGGAACUGGAAAACAGAGCCAGAGGAAGAAUGAGCACAGAGCAAACUGGGAAGGACAAAGUACAAAGGCACUUGGGUUUUGCCAUCUGCAUGUUCUCUGGAAAAUCUCCCUUGGCCUCAUUUCUGGGAGAAAACUCUUCCUCCACCCCCUGUAAGGUUUCAUUCUUGAAGGAAAGCAGCAACACAACUUCAUCAGUGAAUUUCCCCAUUGGAAUUGGUUCAUCCUUUAAUGCCUCUGGGAAAUCCCCAGAUGGGGAAUGUCCUGCUCUCUGCUGAAGGACAGCAGGAAAGUAGGUUGUCCUCUGUUUUCUCGUUGCUACAGCUCUUCUAAGUAUGGCUGAUUGUUGAGUGAAGACAAAGGAUACUUCUGGUGUGUAUGUAUGCUUUGUUCACUGUGGGUGUUGUCGGAAGUGUCCUGAAAAGAAGGGCAUGCCCAAUGGUACUUCUGCUUCCUCUUUGACUAGCCUUAUGAUCAUAGGGAGACACUAGGCCAUUGGAAGAUGAGGAGAACAAUGUGUCUAUGUUGUGUUCACUUCUAUUCCUAUUUAGUCCUAGAGGGAAAUCAGCAAGGGUAGAGAAGGUGACCGUAACUGGACAAAGCUGCUGAUCCUGUGUUGUGAAGCAAUUCCUGUGUAUAACUUGAUGUUACAUUAAGCAAUAGGAUGCCAUGUUCUGUUUAUACCUUUUUGAUGCAAUGAAUCUAUAAUAUUUUACCUCAAACCUCAAUAUAUUACGUUUCUUCCUCUUUUGGAGAAUCUGGCAUGAGAGGGAUCACUUCUUCAUAAGGAUUUGUGAACCUCUUCCAGUUUUCAUUGACCAGGGGUACAUCAUCACCUCUGUGACUGUCAGCCCAUAGUUUGGAUUUACUUUCAGUAAUAGGCUAAGCUGUCUCUCCUGACAACUCACAGUGAGCAGGGUACACACCUGCUACAACUUGUCUUCUGAACUGUUGUAUGUCAACAGAGUCAAAUACAACAGUGAAAUAUAAGCCUACUCCUAAGAUCCAUAUGUUGGUUUUUUUUUUUUUUUUUGCACCACCAUAAAGUUGUCCUAGGAAGAGAUCAGGUGCACCAAUAGGGUAAGCACCAUGCUGCCAGUUCAGCAUUUGCCCAGAUUUGUCUUGAGUUGAAAGCCAAAGUCGAUGCUUUUGACUUUUCUGUUCUUCUUUAACAAAAUAUAAUCUGGUUUCAGGUCACUGUGAACUUAUACAGUGCCCAUAGCCAUAGAUAAAGCCUGCUAAUAUUUGCCUAAAUAUUUCCUUGGCUCCUUCCUCCUCUCGGUGGAAAGACUUUCAGAUGUAUUUGUAAAGCUGUAAAAUUUCAACCAGUUUCACGAUAAGUUAUUAGAAUUGUCUCAGACUCAAUUGGAGAAGCAAGAUGAUGUUGGGGUGGAUGAAAAACUUCAUUAUAUUUGCCAUGGUCAUGUUUGGCUGGCACCAUUGCUUCUUCUUUGCAUGCACUUUGAUAACCCCUGUAGCAGAACUUCCACUGUCCCAGCACCUGAACUAUCCCAAGACCUCCACAGUCAAGGACCAAUAUUGUGGUAGGGCGUCUGUGGUCAGGCAACUCCUCUGUCUCAGACCCUCCAAAUUGCAAGACCUUUACGGGCACUGGAAGUCACUGUCCAUAAACUUCCACUGUUCGAAUACCUCAACUAUAACAAGGACCUCUACUAUUGUACAACCCCCUUGUCAUAGCACGUCUAUUGUUACAAAGUAUUCCACUGUCAAAGGACCUCCAGGGUCUCAGCCUCUCCACUGUUACAGGAUCUCUACUGUCUUAGGACCACUGCUGUUGGAGGACCUCCUGUCUCUCAGCAACUUCAGUUUGUUGGAGCUCUCCUAUCAGAGGACAUUUACAUUAUCUGUACUUCCAGUGUCACAGCUGUUAUAAGAACCUCCAUUCUCACAGGACCUCCAGUGCGUCAGUACCUCCACUGUCCAAGGACUUUUAUAUUGUAGGACCUCUACUGUCCUACAGAAUGUCCACUGUCGCUAGAUUUCCACUGUCACAACACCACAACCAUUACAAGAACUGCAAUUUUGGCAUGACCUCCAGUGUUCCAGCCCCUCCAGUGUCAUAGGACCUCCACUAUCCCAGGACGUCCACUGUCUCACCAAGGCCAAUUUAAAGGACCUCUACUAUAACAGGUUAUCCACUGUAGCUGGACUUACACUGUUGCAGUACCUCAACUGUUGCAGGACCAACAAGGUUGCAGGACAUAGACCCUCUCAGCAGCUAGAAUUUGCAGGACCUCUACUGGCACACAAAUCCCACAGUUGCUGGAGCUCCACUGUCACUGCAAAUGCACUGUCUCAUGAUAUUCACUGUUGCUGGACCAGUAGUGUGGCAGUACCUCCAUUUUUGCCAAGCCCCUCCACUGACGCAAGACUUCCACUUUUGUAGCACCUUCACUGUCCAAGCAAACCAACUCCUGCAGGAUCUCCAUUGUCUCAGGGCAUUCACUAAUGCCAACUCUCCAAUGUUGUAGUACUUUUUAAAAAUUCCUCUAAAAAAGUUUACUUUGUUAUUUACAAAUUACAAUUCAGGUGUUGAGAAAAUAAAUAAGGUCAGUUUCCCCCCUAGAUACUAAGUAAAUAAAAUGUUUUUCUAGACACAAUAUAUGUAAAAGCUUGUGAAAAUGUUCAUAUAAAGCUAUUUGUGGUGGCAUGUGCAUUUAAUGCCAGCUCUAAGAAUGCAGAAAGAGGCAGAUUAUGGUUAAUUUCCGGUCCCCUCGCCUGUGUAGUGAAUUCCAGAACAGCCUCAAAUGUAUAGUGAGUCCCUGGGCUCCGUUUUGUUCUGAUUGCUUGCUCGUGUUUGCAUUUUUAGGCUAGUCAAAAAUGUAUAUAUAAGAUCACCCUAUUAUACCAAGAGCAGUUAUUAAAUAUAAGAAUUAUAGAUGCAUCCUUUGAAGCUCUUCAUCUUAGAAAGAAUGAGGGAGAGAGAAUGAAUGAGUUGGCUUGGGUUUCAGUUUCAGAUCGUUAUGGCUCAGGUAAACCCAGAGCACAGAGUGAAGUUUUUAUGAGCUUUAUUUUUCUUGGAUAAUUUAUGUAUGCACAUUUCAAACGUUAUCCCCUUCCCAUGCUCUCCCAACCCCCUGCCCCUGCUUCUAUGUGGAUGUCAGCCACCUGAGUCAUGCAGAGUUUGACCACAUGAGACUCACCCCAGGACCUAAAUGCAGUGAGUUCAAGGACUCACAUGCUAUGCUGCGUGGGCUCCUCCUUAUGCCACACCUUGACCCCAUUGCACCCUGGGCCUCCAUACCAUAAGCCAGAGUGCAGAUCCCUGGGCACAGUAGGACACACCUAGGCUAGUUUUCACUCCCAUGGAUGCUCUUGUGGCCUUAUCAGAGCACUGUGACCACAUCCCACAUCUGAACAGCAAGCUAAUCAACAGGAUGCUCUGGGAGUCCAUCAGUUUGCUUCCUCAGAGACCCCAUAAUAGAGGGGGAAGAAAUCCAGGCUUUAGGGAGCUACCACAGCCAUGAUUGUUCUUUUGUCCCAGCCACUCCACCUUUGGCCAAGUACAGCUCUGCCAGGCCCUGCCAUGUUGUCUUCAAAAUCUUUGUGUGUCAGUGAUACUUGUAUGAACUAUGCUACACGUUGGCCUAGAGGCUGGGCUUUCCUCUUGCAUUUCCAGCAAGACUACAGAGUUCCCGGGGGAGACUCUCAUGGCUCUUCAUGUUCUGACAGCACAGUCUGCAGAUGUCUCUAAGGUAUUGGACAUCAGACCCCACUGAGGAGUGAGAGGCUUUCAGUGGCUUAUAGACCCAGGGCCUGGGCAUGAUGGCCUUUAUUGUGUGUUUGAUAGCAUGUAUGCUCUGCUCCAAGUGUAGACAGACACUCCCCAUGCCUGUAGUCUGUGCUUGGAGUGUGGGUACACACUCUCCAUGCAAACAGCUGUCUACGCACACACAGAUGCCAUUUUCAUGAUUUACACCUGUUAUCUUUGAUGUUUCUUUUAAAAGACAAUCAUAUAAA